rnacentral:rRNA from 1 species
GACGAACGCUGGCGGCGCGCCUAACACAUGCAAGUCGAACGGAGUUUCCCCUUCGGGGGGAGCUUAGUGGCGGACGGGUGAGUAACACGUGAGGAACCUGCCUUUGAGAGCGGGAUACCGUCUGGAAACGGACGUUAAUACCGCAUAAUGCAGCGAGGCCACAUGGCCAUGCUGCCAAAGAUUUAUCGCUCAAAGAUGGCCUCGCGCCUGAUUAGAUAGUUGGUAGGGUAACGGCCUACCAAGGCGACGAUCAGUAGGGGCGUGAGAGCGUGGUCCCCCACACGGGUACUGAGACACGGACCCGACUCCUACGGGAGGCAGCAGUGGGGAAUUUUGGACAAUGGGCGCAAGCCUGAUCCAGCCAUGCCGCGUGCAGGAUGAAGGCCCUAUGGGUUGUAAACUUCUUUUAGAUGAGAAGAAAAUGCUAGAUGUAUCUGGUACUGACGGUACCAUCAGAAUAAGCAACCGGUAACUCCGUGCCAGCAGCCGCGGU